rnacentral:lncRNA from 1 species
GCAGGAGUGGGGAGGAGGCCGGCUCUCUGUCUGUCCUGGGGCCAUGCUCACAUGUCUGCUGCCCAGUGUGGGCCGUUCUGAUACUCAGAGAUCUGGGGGUUUGGGGAGAGGCAACAAGCCCGUGCAUCUAGGAGGGCGCAGAGAAAAGCUGCCUCCAGCCCGGAGGCUCCUCUCUGCUCUUGCCUCUUUCAAGGCCCUCCCUUUUGAUGACCUGUAUUUUCAUCUCUCCUCCCUCCCCUUCUGCUUCCCCCAGCCUCCUCCCAAGCCUCCCACGCCGGGCAGUCUCCAUUCCCCUCGGCUGUUCCUGCCCAUCUCUACCCUGCAAGUGCUUCCAGGGCUGUGGGGCCAAAUGUGCCCUCUCCUGCCCUCAUGGCAGCCUCAGUUCCUGAGUUCUCAUCAUUUCUUCCUUGCUACAAUCAGAACUGAGUCUAGCACCCUUCAGGACAAAUCCAGAUCCCCAGGAGAGACAGCCUGAUGAGUUCAGCUUGGAAAGGGUCUGUUCCUGUCCUAUCAGCUGUGGCCAGCGUGCCAGGGUCACGUACCAGUGCGACUGCCACAGCACGGCCCAUCUGUCCAGGAGUAGUUCUCAGUCAACGGGCUCCAGCUGGGACUCAGGCUGAAUAGAUGCCCACAAGGAUGUCUGCUACCACAUGUAAAGUGCCCCAAAGCAGGACAAGUGCUCAGCAAGUGUGGCCCGUAUGAUUAAGGGAAUUCUGUGUCUGUCUGAGAAGAAAGUGGCGAUGAGCAAUAACAAGGCCUGUCGUCCAUCUGGAAGAACUCCAGCCACCCCCCAAACUUUCAGGUGCAUAGAACCACCUGGACAUAAGACACAAACAUUGUUACCCCAAAAAGGAAAAAAAUUAUUUGGACUAUAUUAAAAUAAAAUAUUUGUUUAUCAAAAUACAUCAUUAAGAGUAAAAAGGCAAGACAGCAAGUUGAAGAAGAUAUUUGCAAUACACAUAGCCAGGAAAGGACAAGAACCCAGAAUAUAUAAAGAACUCCUAUAAAUCAGUAAGAAAAAGACAAUCUGAUUAAAACAUUGGCAAAAGAUCUGAAGAGGCACUUCACAAAAGAGGAUGCCCAAAUGGCCAAUAAACAUAAGAAAAUGUGCUCAACAUCAUUAGUCAUCAGGGAAAUGCAAGUUGAAGCAUAAAAUGGUAUCACUCCACACCCACAAGCAUGGCUGGGAUGAAAAGAGAGAUGCGCCCAGUGCUGACGAGGAUGUGCAUCAACUGGAACUCUCAGACACUGCAGGUGGGUGUCUAAAUUGGUACAGCCACUUUGGAAAAUUGUUCAGCUGUAUUUGUUAAACCUGAACACAAGCAAAUCCUAUCUGUGAUGCCACAAUUCUGCUGAUCGACAUAUCUCCAUCAGAAAUGUAUACAAAUGUCCACAGAGAUACAUGUCAUCGAAUUUUCAUGGCAGCCCUCUUUUGAUAUCCCAAAGCUGGAAACAACCCAAUGCCCAUCAACAGCAGAAUGCAUACAAAUUGUGGUACAAUCAUAGGCUGGAAUGCUACUCAGCAUUGAGAAUAAACAAACCACAACUGCAUAUAAUGGUAUGAAUGAGUCUCACAAAUAAUGUCAAGUAAAAAAGAGCCAGACACAGGUGUCUGUAUAAUUCUAUACACGUGAAAUUCAAAUGCAGGCAAAACAGAACUGAGCUGUCAGGAGUCAGGAUACUGGCCUUGUUUGGACAGCUUAGUAACCGGAAGGGACAUGAGGGGUUUGUGAGGGCCUGUAAAUAUUCUAUUUCUCUACCUGGGUAGACAUUAAGCAGAUGUGGAGUUUGUGAAAACGCAUGGAGCAAUUCACCUAUUACUUCUACACUUUUCUACAUUUAUGUACCCACUAAUAUCAUUUUUUGGGGAAAAAAAAAACCCAG